AACGCACCUUGCGCUCCUUGGUAUUCCGAGGAGCAUGCCUGUUUGAGUGUCAUUAAAUUCUCAACUUUGCUUGUCUUUUCGAGCAAAGCUUGGAUUUUGGAGCGUGCUGGCGAAGGUCGGCUCCUCUUUAAAUGCAUUAGCGGAAAGUCAUUUGACUUUUGCGGUGAAUCGGCGUGAUAAUAAUGUUGUUGCGUUGUUGGCCCAAAGGUCUCUGUCCGCUUACAAUGGUCUUCGGACGACUUAUUAUGAAACUUGACCUCAAAUCAGGUAGGACUACCCGCUGAACUUAA
rnacentral:misc_RNA from 1 species